rnacentral:rRNA from 1 species
GACGAACGCUGGCGGCGGGCUUAACACAUGCAAGUCGAACGGAAAGGCCCUGCUUUUGUGGGGUGCUCGAGUGGCGAACGGGGGAGGAACACGUGAGUAACCUGCCCUUGACUUUGGGAUAACUUCAGGAAACUGGGGCUAAUACCGGAUAGGAUCUCCUGCUGCAUUGUGGGGGUGGGAAAGUUUAGGCGUUUGGGGAUGGACUCGCGGCUUAUCAGCUUGUUGGUGGGGUAGUGGCUUACCAAGGCUUUGACGGGUCGCCGGCCUGAGAGGGUGACCGGCGACAUGGGGACUGAGAGACGGCCCAGACGCCUACGGGAGGCAGCAGGGGGGAACAUUGCACAAUGGGCGGAAGCCUGAGACAGAAGCGCCGCGUGCGUGAUGACGGCCUUCGGGGUGUAAACCGCUUUCGCCUGUGACGAAGCGUGAGUGACGGUAAUGGGUAAAGAAGCACCGGCUAACUACGUG